UACAGAGGGGGCAAGCGUUGUUCGGAAUUACUGGGCGUAAAGGGCGCGUAGGCGGCCUUCUAAGUCGAACGUGAAAUCCCCGGGCUCAACCCGGGAACUGCGUCCGAUAUUGGAAGGCUUGAAUCCGGGAGAGGGAUGCGGAAUUCCAGGUGUAGCGGUGAAAUGCGUAGAUAUCUGGAGGAACACCGGUGGCGAAGGCGGCAUCCUGGACCGGUAUUGACGCUGAGGCGCGAAAGCCAGGGGAGCAAACGGG
rnacentral:rRNA from 1 species